UCAAAUUCUCCGACUUAGUUUGGGGCCUUUGGGCAAAUCCCUUCGCACUCGCCAACCAUUCCUACUAUACCUUCAAAUUCAAAAGAAUCAUGAUCCCCUUCCCCUGCAGCUGCUCCAACGGCACUGGAAUCUCUAAUAGGGUCCCCUAUUUACACUGUACAGCAAGGGGAUUACAACCUUGAUCACAUCGCCAGGAAUGUCUACUCUGGGCUGGUGACGGCCCAGGAGAUUGCCCAAGUCAAUGGAAUCUCCAACCCCAACAACUUUAUCGAGAUUGGGCAGAAGCUGUGGAUUCCACUGCCCUGCAGCUGCGAAAUGGUCAACGGAAAUCAGGUCGUCCAUUAUGGACAUGUGGUGGCAAAAAGGAGCUCUGUGGAUCAAAUCGCCAAGGAGUAUGGGAUCCACGAGAAAACCUUAUUGAAGCUUAAUGGAAUGUCCAACCGAAAUGAACUUCAGGCCGGUCAUCUCCUCGAUGUUCCUCUCAAACUCGAAGAUUAUGAACACUUAUAGUCAGCAAAGAUGCGGAAGACUACCUUUUGUUUGUUCUUC